GCGCGAAAACUUUACAAUGCGGGCAACCGCGAUAAGGGGACCUCGAGUGCUGGGUUACAAACCUGGCUGUUGGGCUGCCUAAAAAGCAGUCUAUAGCAAGGGCCGGGCAAGACCGGUGCCAGCCGCCGCGGUAACACCGGCGGCUCGAGUGGUAACCGCUAUUAUUGGGUCUAAAGGGUCUGUAGCCGGCCGACUAAGUCUCUUGGGAAAUCUGGCAUCUCAAGUGUCAGGCUGCCAGGGGAUACUGGUCGGCUUGGGACCGGGAGAGGUGAGAGGUACCUCGGGGGUAGGGGUGAAAUCUUGUAAUCCUCGAGGGACCACCAGUGGCGAAGGCGUCUCACCAGAACGGAUCCGACGGCAAGGGACGAAAGCUAGGGGCACGAACCGGAUUAGAUACCCGGGUAGUCCUAGCCGUAAACGAUACUCGCUAGGUGUCGGCCACGGUGCGACCGUGGUCGGUGCCGUAGGGAAGCCGUGAAGCGAGCCACCUGGGAAGUACGGCCGCAAGGCUAAAACUUAAAGGAAUUGGCGGGGGAGCACCACAACGGGUGGAGCCUGCGGUUUAAUUGGAUUCAACGCCGGAAAGCUUACCGGGGGCGACAGCAACAUGAAGGUCAGGCUGAAGACCUUACCGGAUUCGCU
rnacentral:rRNA from 1 species